UUGGUUUUCUCAUUUUAAUUUUCCAAAUUAUAUUUUUUUUUAAUUUUUAUUUGUAACUUAUCGUAAUUUUACGAGAUUUUUAAGAUCUGCAAGUCUUAAAAACCGUGAAAUCACAGAACUGGAUGAAAAAAUCUAAUCUCUUUUUGUAAGCGAAUAUAAAAAUGUGAGGAAAUAAAUUGAGUAAAUAUGACAUGUUAUCUGAGAUAUUAUGACUUUUUUCUGAUAUUUUUUGAUUUUUAUUUGCUUUCAUUAAUUUUAAAUUGUCAAUAAAGUCGCGCGAUUUCCGCCAGCAAAUCGCAGCAAAGAGAUUCUGCGCAUGCACUUCGACGGUAUAUGUUCUUCGUUGUCGCCGAACCGGUCAUCAUCGUAACAGUAUAGUGCCUUGCAAGUGCCUCGUAUUCUAAUUUUAAUAUUAAAUUGAAUGAGCAGUUUGCCUCAUAUCGGAUCAUCUCGGCGGAUGAAAGAAACUGCAGGAAAGUUAACGUAGAACAUCAUUGGAAAAUUAGAAUUUUUGUAUAAUGGUUGAACGGCAACAGUACAUAAAGGUCAUACAGUAUAUAAAGGUAAAUAAUUAAAAAUAUUUAUGUUUUCAAUAAUACAGUGUGGGCCAUAAGUCAGAGUUGUCACUAGCAAUCCUUAAUCCUUAGUUUUGACAACUGACUUAAGGCCCACCCUGUAUUACAAGACUAUUUAAAGCAAUUGUAAUAAAAUCGAUGAAGCCAUUUCUAUUCGUUAAUUUUUUUUAUUAAUUUUACAUUGACUUUUAUUAUUCAUAUGAAUCGAGUGUGAAAAAAGAAUUUAAUUUCGUAAUACAGUUUAUUGUAAUGUUAACUAUAACGAUGAAAUGAUAUAAUACUUGUAAAAUUAUCAAACUCGUUUUUCAUACAUUGUAAAUGUUUUAAUUUUUGUAUAUAAUAUAUAUUAUUCUUUUCAAUUCACGUUUUUAAAAAUUUGUAUAUUUAAAACUUCAAUGAAAUGUUGAUUGCCAAAAAUAAUACACUCUUGAAUCCUUUUACACGUACUCAGAUCUAUAUCUAUUGCCCUAAAAAUAUGUAUAUAUAUAUACACA